UCUCUGUUGUCAGAGUGUUUUUUGGCUCCACAGGAUUCUUUGUGUCUCCUCCUCCUCUUCCUCCUGAUCAAGCUGAAACAGGUUUGUUGUUUUGCUAUCAGAGACAAAGGUUUCAGUCGACACACGAUAAGAUGUCUCUGUGUCCCAGAGGUCUUCCAGGUGGAGCUGCAGCGUGAGAAACCCUCCAAUCAGAGCAGUCAAGUAUGGGCGGUUCUAUAUUGAAUGACUUUCUGGCCUUCCUUGAUGCAAAAUCAUCAAUGAUGUCAUCGUAUGAAAUCUGCUCCCCUAUUGAGUGAUUGAUAUUGAUGACGGCGAGGCCAGUGAUCCGUUCCUGGGACAUGGUGACCUCAGGUGGGGCUGUGACUCAUCAGGAAACAACUCACCUGAGUUCUUCUCUGUCAACUCUUUGGACUGUUUGAAGAAACUGUGGGGCUGUGACUCAACAGGAAACAACUCACCUGAGUUCUUCUCUGUCAACUCUUUGGACUGUUUGAAGAAACUGUACGUUGCUGUUUGAUACUUUACCAACACGUUAGUCUCUGGUCUCUUCAGGGUUAGUUUCUGGCUCUGUAAAGUUAAGUAUAAUGUUUCUACUUCACUUCUUAUUUCCUGAGAAAGUUUGGACGAAUCUUGUGUUGAAGAUAAAUCUACAUGUUGUAACAUGAACUCCUACAGAGGAGGU